AAAAGAACCAAGCCAGUCUGGAGGAUAUAAUGAUGACUCCUGCUAUCAGAACCAGAAAACCUAAAGGGAAGCCUCUGAUCAAGAAAACAUCUAAUGAAGAAGACAUUCUGGGAGAGAUAAAGUCCUUACAAGCCCAGGAGGAGAGAAAGAUGUCACUCCUUGAGGAAAU